rnacentral:rRNA from 1 species
AGAGUUUGAUCCUGGCUCAGAUUGAACGCUGGCGGCAGGCCUAACACAUGCAAGUCGAGCGGUAGAGAGAAGCUUGCUUCUCUUGAGAGCGGCGGACGGGUGAGUAAUGCCUAGGAAUCUGCCUGGUAGUGGGGGAUAACGUUCGGAAACGGACGCUAAUACCGCAUACGUCCUACGGGAGAAAGCAGGGGACCUUCGGGCCUUGCGCUAUCAGAUGAGCCUAGGUCGGAUUAGCUAGUUGGUGAGGUAAUGGCUCACCAAGGCGACGAUCCGUAACUGGUCUGAGAGGAUGAUCAGUCACACUGGAACUGAGACACGGUCCAGACUCCUACGGGAGGCAGCAGUGGGGAAUAUUGGACAAUGGGCGAAAGCCUGAUCCAGCCAUGCCGCGUGUGUGAAGAAGGUCUUCGGAUUGUAAAGCACUUUAAGUUGGGAGGAAGGGCAGUUACCUAAUACGUGAUUGUUUUGACGUUACCGACAGAAUAAGCACCGGCUAACUCUGUGCCAGCAGCCGCGGUAAUACAGAGGGUGCAAGCGUUAAUCGGAAUUACUGGGCGUAAAGCGCGCGUAGGUGGUUUGUUAAGUUGGAUGUGAAAUCCCCGGGCUCAACCUGGGAACUGCAUUCAAAACUGACUGACUAGAGUAUGGUAGAGGGUGGUGGAAUUUCCUGUGUAGCGGUGAAAUGCGUAGAUAUAGGAAGGAACACCAGUGGCGAAGGCGACCACCUGGACUAAUACUGACACUGAGGUGCGAAAGCGUGGGGAGCAAACAGGAUUAGAUACCCUGGUAGUCCACGCCGUAAACGAUGUCAACUAGCCGUUGGAAGCCUUGAGCUUUUAGUGGCGCAGCUAACGCAUUAAGUUGACCGCCUGGGGAGUACGGCCGCAAGGUUAAAACUCAAAUGAAUUGACGGGGGCCCGCACAAGCGGUGCAGCAUGUGGUUUAAUUCGAAGCAACGCG